AUUGAACGCUGGCGGCAGGCCUAACACAUGCAAGUCGAGCGGAGCGGCGGACGGGUGCGUAAUACCUAGGAAUCUGACUGGUAGUGGGGGAUAGCGUUAGGAAACGGACGCUAAUACCACAUCCUAUCACAUUAGCAUAGGCCGGAUUAGCUAGUUGGUGAGGUAAUGGCUCACCAAGGCUACGAUCCCUAACUGGUCUGAGAGGAUGAGCAGGCAAACUGGAACUGAGACACGGUCCAGGCUCCUUCGGGAGGCAGCAGUGGGGAAUAUUGGACAAUGGGCGAAAGCCUGAUCCAGCCAUGCCGCGUGUGUGAAGAAGGUCUUCGGGUUGUAAAGCACUUUAAGUUGGGAGGCGUUACCGACAGAAUAAGCACCGGCUAACUCUGUGCCAGCAGCCGCGGUAAUAC
rnacentral:rRNA from 1 species